GUCGAGGGGCAGCAUGAACUUAGCUUGCUAAGUUUGAUGGCGGCCGGCGCACGGGUGAGUAACACGUAUCCAACCUGCCGAUGACUCGGGGAUAGCCUUUCGAAAGAAAGAUUAAUACCCGAUGGCAUAAUUCUUCCGCAUGGUAGAAUUAUUAAAGAAUUUCGGUCAUCGAUGGGGAUGCGUUCCAUUAGGUUGUUGGCGGGGUAACGGCCCACCAAGCCUUCGAUGGAUAGGGGUUCUGAGAGGAAGGUCCCCCACAUUGGAACUGAGACACGGUCCAAACUCCUACGGGAGGCAGCAGUGAGGAAUAUUGGUCAAUGGACGAGAGUCUGAACCAGCCAAGUAGCGUGAAGGAUGACUGCCCUAUGGGUUGUAAACUUCUUUUAUACGGGAAUAAAGUGAGGCACGUGUGCCUUUUUGUAUGUACCGUAUGAAUAAGGAUCGGCUAACUCCGUGCCAGCAGCCGCGGUA
rnacentral:rRNA from 1 species